rnacentral:tRNA from 1 species
GUCCCUAUAGCGCAAUGGAUAGCGCGUUGGACUUCUAAUCCAGAGGUCGUGGGUUCGAAUCUCACCUGAGUUGGACU